rnacentral:rRNA from 1 species
AAUGAACGCUGGCGGCAUGCCUAACACAUGCAAGUCGAACGAUCCCUUCGGGGGUAGUGGCGCCUGGUUUUGUAACGCGUGGGAACCUGCCCUUAUGUUCGGACUAACUCAGAGAAAUUUGUGCUAAUACCGGAUAAUGUCUUCGGACCAAAGAUUUAUUGCCUUUGGUUGGGCCCGCGUUGGAUUAGCUCGUUGGUAGGGUAAAGGCCUACCAAGGCGUCGAUUCAUAGCUGGUCUGAGAGGAAGAUCAGCCACUCUGGGACUGAGACACGGCCCAGACUCCUACGGGAGGCAGCAGUGGGGAAUAUUGGACAAUGGGCGAAAGCAUGAUGCAGCAAUGCUGCGAAAGUGAUGAAGGCCGGGAAGUUGUAAAGCACUUUUACCCGGGAUGAUAAUGACGGUACCGAAUGAGUAAGCCACGGCUAACUCCGUG